CGAAUUCCGAACUUGUUACUGUGGAAAUUCUGAUAUUUUGUUAAAAUGUGGUACGAAAUUCUGCCCAGUUUCUUCAUUAUUACGGCUGGCAUAGGCCUGCCAGGCUGGGGCUUAUAUCACAUUCACAAUUUAAUACUAGGCAAUCACUUCAGACGCAACCUCAAUGACAGGUGGGACCGCCAAAUGUACCAGCGAGACCUUCGGUUAACUGGCAAUCCCUACAAAGUAGCGG
rnacentral:lncRNA from 1 species